CGGUUACAUUCUCGGAAUUUAGUCUGGGGGUGUCUUUGAGUUUUGCCGACCGUCGCUGCGUACUUCGUCUUUUAAGACUUUUAUAAAAUAUUAUUUUACGCAGUGAAUAUUUCAGAGUUUCUCAACUAUUACAGUGAUGCUCACGCUGGGGAUCUUUCCCUUUUAGUUUUUAAUAUUUAUAAAAAUCUCGAACGCCUUCGAGAAUGUUCUAGAAAGUUCUAGAACAUUCUAGAAGGUUCUAGAAGAAUUGGUGAGGCUGUUAUAUAAUACUUUAAAAUUUUAUAUCUUGACAACGAUGAGGGGGUCGAGGGUUGGGGUUGGAACUUUAAAAGUAUAUAGAGGGUGGACCCUAGGGAGUAGUAGGGGUGUGUGGUUCAUCGAACGCGGUAUACGCGGUGGCCUCAGUCAAGUGUUCAGGCAGACAUGCGCGAGCCAAUAACAAGUACAUGCAGACGUACGACCCAUUGAAACCAUCCUCAUAUCUUAUGUACUUUGACGUGAAUAAUUUGUACGGAUGGGCAAUGUGUCAGCCACUGCCCUAUGGAGAAUUUCAAUGGGUUGAAGAUGUCUCUAAUUUUGACGUGUGUGCGAUCGCUCCUGAUUCACCAACGGGAUACAUUCUCGAAGUUGAUCUCAAGUAUCCUCGAGACCUUCACGAUGAGCACACUGACCUACCUUUCUGCCCGACACGCCAGGCAAGCGUGAAUAUAAACUUUUAGCGACCUUGUAUGAUAAGAAACGUUACGUCAUCCACUACCGCAACCUGCAGCAGUGCACGCGUCACGGUCUUCAUAUCGCGAAGAUACACCGUGUAUUAAAAUUCGCACAAUCUCCAUGGCUCUGUAAGUAUAUAGAGUUAAACACACAAUUCCGAAUCAUCGCUAAAAAUGAUUUCGAAAAAAAACUUGUAUAAAUUAAUGAAUAAUGCGGUGUUUGGUAAAACCAUGGAGAAUGUGCGCAAUCAUGUUAACGUUAAAUUGUUGACGACAUGGGCGGGGCGGUAUGGUGCGGAGACAAUGAUCGCGAAACCAAAUUUUCAUAGUCGAAGUAUUUUUGCGGAAAAUUGGUUACACGACAUUAGUCCGAAAACUAGAUGGGGAAAAUGUUGGUACCAACAAAAUUCUCUAGACAUUUCAAUUUCAAUUUUUACAGGUUAGUAACACUGUUUAAGUAGUAAAUCCACGAGUGUGCGGAGACGUUUUGACGUAUGCGCGCGUCAAAAAUAAUAAAUAUCGCUCAAUUAUUUGUAGGAUGUUAACAGCCAGAGAACAAUUCCCUGCCGAGUAAAGCUGCCAAAUUCAGAGUCUGCUAUGUUCCCAAGUGUGCCAAAAUUACAGAAAAUGUGCUACCCGCAUUAGCAUUUGCGAGAAUGGAUUUGGAGUAUCAAUGGAAUGCUUGUCCAGAAAUCAAGGAUUAUUGUUGCUAUAACGUUUCGUUCGUGCCCAAAAUUGUGGAUGCCUCGCAAAACUUCUAAUACGCUUUUGAUGUUCAGAAAGGUAAACUGUAAAUAGAUAGUAAAUAUUGCAUUUUAAGAAUAAUUAAUAUGGUAUGGAAAUAUGUUUACAAAAUAUGGCAUUUAAGUUACCAAAAAAUUCAGCAAUUGUUGUGUGUUUUUUCAGAUUUAACCGAAGUUCUCGGUUGUGUCUUUUUGAUACAUUAUUGGUUCGGUGUAUUUGUUGGAAAACCGAAAAAGAUUCAGGCUUAAAACUGUUUAUCCACGUGUCUUUAUAAUAUUGGAAGAAAGACUGUAAAUAUGUGCAAUCUUGGAAAAUAAUUCCCGAUAUCAGAUUGAAGCCUUCUACUAUUAAUUUUUUUGGUAAAAAGGCUAAUGAUAUCAAUAAUUUUGUGGCGCCCCAACCUACACCAUUUUUAUCAUUUUUUAAUAUGCCGUGCUUUUCAGCAUUGUGUACUAACGCCUGUAAUAGGAAAUUAAUACAAUUAAAAUUGAUUUACAUUUUUGUUAAUUAAGUUUAGUUAUUUUUUAUUACCUGGCUGUAGUGGAAGUAGCCAAUAAUUUUAUUGGGAAAAACCGUACGCAAAGCUUUUUGUUCGGCUUUUUCAAAGUCUGACAUUGCAAUGUCAGGAUUUAUUUUUAAUAUAUUUUUUAUUUUUUUUAACACAUUGACAUAAUUUUGUGUUGUGCGUCCUUCCAUAAUAGUGUACACUAUUGGAAAUGUCUAAAAAAUUUCUAAAAGGUAUCAAUGUUUACUGGGUACGUUUCGUUCGUGCCCAAAAUUGUGGAUGCCUCGCAAAACUUCUAAUACGCUUUUGAUGUUUAGAAAGGUAAACUGUAAAUAGAUAGUAAAUAUUGCAUUUUAAGAAUAAUCAAUAUGAUAUGGAACAUGCUUACAAAAUGAGGCGUUCAAUAUAUCUAAAAAUUCAGCAAUUGUGUUUUUUCAGAUUUAACCGAAGUUCUCAAGGUUGUCUUUUAGAGACGUUAUUAAUUCCUGUCUAUUUAUUGACAAACCGAGAAAGAAGCCGACUUAAAGCGGGUUUAUCCACGUAUCUUCAUAAUACUGGAGAAAGGACUGCAAGGGCGUGCAAUUUUUGAUCAUAUUUCUCGAUAUUAUAUUGAAGCCUUCUACUAUUAAUGUUUCGGAUGAAAAAGCUUAAUAUUAACAGUUUUGUUGCACUACAACCUACACUAUUCUUGUAAUUUUUUAAUAUUCUAUACUUUUCUACAUUGUAUACUAUUGCCUGUAAUAAUAAAUUAACACGAUUAAAAUUGACUUGCAUUUUUUGUUAAUUAAGCGUACUAUUAUUUUUUAUUCUAACUGUAAUUGUAAAUAGUUAAUAAUUUUAGUAUCGAGGAAAACCGUAUGUAGUGAUUUUUGUUUGAUUUUUUCAAAAUCGUUGCUAUGUCAAGAUUUAUUUUCAAAAUAUUAGUGAUUUUAAAAAAUACGUUAAUAUAUUGCGUAGUGCUUUCAUUAUACAUUAUUCGAAAUGUCUGAAAAAUUUAAAAUUACAUUUAAUUAAUAUGUACAUAAAUUGUGGAAUUCUUGUUGUGAUUAAAUGAACUAAUUACUUAAAGAAUAAAUUAAAAAUGGACUAAUUUUAUUACUUACUCUAUUAUCAUAUCUUAUGACACCUGUCUAUAACUGACAAUUAAAAUUUUUUAGUUGAGUUUCUGUGUCAAAAGUUCCAUCAACAAAAAUAACUUUUUGUUUAAAUUAUUUACUAUUAAAUUCGAUAACGUCUUAUUAAUAAAAAUAAGCUUUUGUUGUAUUGUCUGUAAUAAUAGAUUCUACUACGAAUAAAUUUGUUUUGUCUAUUUUUAAUAAUUGUUUCUAAUUUUCUUUUUUUUAACAAGUAUAUACAUAAUUCGUAUAGAUUUUGUGGAAUCCGUGCGAUAUUUUUCUUUUUAUGGCGUUCUACAAAUUUCUCUAUAUUUACGAUAUUUGUUAAAUUUAAUAAAUAAUCGUAUCUAGAAAUAAAUUUACAAAUUACGAUUUAUCCAUAUAAUCAUUAAUCUUCACCAUAAUAAUUUAUUAUUUUCUAUUUUAUCUUUUUUAAUUUACUUAGAGAUAAUCGUAUUUUUUAUUUCCCUCAUUAUUUUAAAGGGUUGAGAUGCCUUAAUUAAUUUCUUAAUGUCAUCUAAUUGCACUGAUUUUUCGUGUCCUUCGUGUCUUCCACUUACAAUACAUUCACCAUUUUUUAUUUUUAGACGUGCUUUGAACUUCACAUCUUUAUUUUUUCUAUAAUCGUGAUACCUACCAGAAAAUUAUUUACUAUUAAAUACCUUAAAUAUAAUUAAUGUCAUGUUUUUCUACGCUGAUUGUGUAGGAAAAAUGUUAUCAAUAUUUUUUACAGGAUGUUUAAUUAAAAUUACGUCAAACACCGCGCGCUUUACUACAAUUAUUCGUUAUACUUUUGUUUUGUAUUAUGCAUUUGUUUCUCUGUUUCAAUCUUUCUGAUUGUUAUAGUAACCUAAUUGUUUAGCGUUAUUUAUUGUAUUGUGUCCAAAGUUGUGUAUACAUUUCUCCAUUAUGGCAGAAAAAGCAAAAUACAAUUUUGCGAGGAUUCAGAAAACAAAAGGAUAAUUAUAUGAAGGAUAUAAUUUCCAUCUGGAUAACUCAUACGCAGAUACUAAGUAAACAGAAAUGAUUAACAGUGAAAUUUAGAGUUACAAUUAAGAUUAUAAUAUAGAAAAAUAAAAGAGCAGUUUUCUAUUUGUAUAUAUAUAUAUAUAUAUAUAUGUACUAUCAAUUUUUUAACAAAUUAAUUAUUAAUUCUUUUAAUAAGUGUAUGAGAAAUAAUUAAAAUUUUUGAUGCUUCACAUUCUGUAAAAAAAAUUGAUAACGUUUGUCCUAUACAAUCAGCGUAGAAAAACAUUAUAUUAUAUUUAAUGUAUUUAAUACUAAAUAAUUUUCUGGCAGGUAUUACCGUUGUAGUUAUAAAAAAAAUAAAGAUGUGCAAUGCAAAGCACGCCUAAAGAUAAAAAAUGGCAAAUAUAUUUUAAGUGGAAGACACGAACACGAAAGGCCAGUGCAAUUAGAUAAUAUAAAAAAAGAGAUUAAGGAAUCUCAACCCUUUGAAACAUCGAGGGAAAUAAAAAAUAGAAUCAUCUCUAAAUACGAUCAUUUAUUAAAUUUUACAAAUAUUGCAAAUAUUGAAAAAUCUAUAGAAAGGCAUAAAAAGAAAAAUAUCAAACGGAUUCCACAAAAUCUGAAUGAGUUAAAUAUUUCUUUAAAAAGUAACAAUUGGCAAGAAUUAUUAAAAAUAGAGAAAGAAGACUCAUUCGUCGUAGAAUCCGUUGUUACAAACAAUUUAACAAAGACACUGAUUUUUAUUGAUAAAACGUUAUCAAAUUUGCUGUUAAAUACUUUAACUGACAAGUUAACAAUUUUUGUCGAUGGAACUUUUGCUACAGUUCCUCAAUUAAAAAAUACGAAUUGUCAGUUAUGGACAAUUGUUCUAAGACAUGAUAACAGAGUAAGUAAAAUAAUUAGUCCAUUUAUUAUUUAUUAUUUAAAUUGAUUUAUUUAAUCAUAACAGGAAUUCUAUAUUUUACAUAAAUGUAAAUUAAAUAUAAUUUUUAAAUUUUUUAGACAUUUCCAAUAGUGUACACUAUUAUGGAAGGACGCACAACACAAAAUUAUGUCAAUGUGUUAAAAAAAAUAAAAAAUAUAUUAAAAAUAAAUCCUGACAUUGCAAUGUCAGACUUUGAAAAAGCCGAACAAAAAGCUUUGCGUACGGUUUUUCCCAAUAAAAUUAUUGGCUACUUCCACUACAGCCAGGUAAUAAAAAAUAACUAAACUUAAUUAACAAAAAUGUAAAUCAAUUUUAAUUGUAUUAAUUUCCUAUUACAGGCGUUAGUACACAAUGCUGAAAAGCACGGCAUAUUAAAAAAUGAUAAAAAUGGUGUAGGUUGGGGCGCCACAAAAUUAUUGAUAUCAUUAGCCUUUUUACCAAAAAAAUUAAUAGUAGAAGGCUUCAAUCUGAUAUCGGGAAUUAUUUUCCAAGAUUGCACAUAUUUACAGUCUUUCUUCCAAUAUUAUAAAGACACGUGGAUAAACAGUUUUAAGCCUGAAUCUUUUUCGGUUUUCCAACAAAUACACCGAACCAAUAAUGUAUCAAAAAGACACAACCGAGAACUUCGGUUAAAUCUGAAAAAACACACAACAAUUGCUGAAUUUUUUGGUAACUUAAAUGCCAUAUUUUGUAAACAUAUUUCCAUACCAUAUUAAUUAUUCUUAAAAUGCAAUAUUUACUAUCUAUUUACAGUUUACCUUUCUGAACAUCAAAAGCGUAUUAGAAGUUUUGCGAGGCAUCCACAAUUUUGGGCACGAACGAAACGUUAUAGCCUAAAAGAAAAAGAAAA
rnacentral:lncRNA from 1 species